GAUGAACGCUGGCGGCGUGCCUAAUACAUGCAAGUCGAACUUGAUUUUCGGAUUGAGUGGCGAACGGGUGAGUAAGACAUAGGUCACCUGGCUUAUAGAGGGGGAUAACCACUGGAAACGGUGGAUAAUACCGCAUGAAUAUAUCGAAGGCAUCUUGGAUAUAUAAAAGGAGCUAAUGAUUCGCUAUAAGAUGGGCUUGCGACGGAUUAGCUAGUUGGUAAGGUAAAAGCUUACCAAGGCAACGAUCAGUAGCCGGACUGAGAGGUCGAUCGGCCACAUUGGGACUGAGACACGGCCCAGACUCCUACGGGAGGCAGCAGUGGGGAAUAUUGGGCAAUGGGCGAAAGCCUGACCCAGCGACGCCGCGUGGAGGAAGAAGGUUUUCGGAUUGUAAACUCCUGUCUUCGGGGAAGAUAAUGACGGUACCCGAGGAGGAAGCCACGGCUAACUACGUACCAGCAGCCGCGGUAACAC
rnacentral:rRNA from 1 species